rnacentral:tRNA from 1 species
GCCUCCAUAGCUCAGUGGUUAGAGCACUAGUCUCGUAAACUAGGGGUCGAGAGUUCGAUUCUCUCUGGGGGCA